UUGUCUCACGGCUGCCUGCAGUUCCUCUCAGCGGCAGCAGAGGUCGCCCGAGCGACCCUCCGGGGACGCGCGAGGCCUCUCUCCACGCGCGUCUCCAACUCCCCCGGGUGGAGGGGCGCGAGCCAGCCCUGCUGCGGGGGGAGCACAGCGCGCCCCCGGCCUGGCUCUGCAGAGGAGCGCGUGACUGGGGAAGAUUGUGUCACAGGAGCCGGGAAGUUUUGUUAUUUCCUCCCCCGUUAACCCUGUGGAACCAGCACAGCUAAGAAAGAAUGAGCCGGAUCCUAUACCCCCCUUGCAUUUGGAACAAAGUUGCAAUAUCCUCUGCAACCCUCUUAUAACAAAGGCCAUUAAACUGUAUGAGAAUCGAGGGGCUGUGCAGCUCACAGGAUUGGGCACACUGGAAAAGCUGGUGUGACUGCAGCUGGGGUUCUUGGUGUGAAGUCAUGCCAGUGCCAAUCAUAACAAGUCACAUCAUCCUAGGAGGAAGCUAUGGAUUUUUAAAUGCAUUUUAACAGACAAGGUGUGUUAGUUCUAAGUUACCUUCCCUAGGGAUUAGAUUUGCUCCUGAAGAAAUGAAUACAACAAAAUGCACAUAAUGGACCUCAUUUCUGUGCAUGCUGUAUAGAUAGUAUGGUUACAUAUAAAAACAAAACCUUUACUCUCUAGGACGGCUUUGCUAAUAAUUUAGCAGUAGU